rnacentral:rRNA from 1 species
UACGAGGGGGGCGAGCGUUGUUCGGAAUUAUUGGGCGUAAAGAGCUCGUAGGCGGUGUGUCGCGUCGGCCGUGAAAACCUGCAGCUUAACUGUGGGCUUGCGGUCGAUACGGGCAUCACUGGAGUUCGGCAGGGGAGACUGGAAUUCCUGGUGUAGCGGUGAAAUGCGCAGAUAUCAGGAGGAACACCGGUGGCGAAGGCGGGUCUCUGGGCCGAUACUGACGCUGAGGAGCGAAAGCGUGGGGAGCGAACAGG